GGCUGGUCUGAGUGCAGUGGUGUUUACAACUAAUUGAUCACAACCAGUUACAGAUUUCUUUGUUCCUUCUCUACUCCCACUGCUUCACUUGACUAGCCUUAC
rnacentral:Y_RNA from 1 species